ACAUGCAAGUCGAACGAACUCUGGUAUUGAUUGGUGCUUGCAUCAUGAUUUACAUUUGAGUGAGUGGCGAACUGGUGAGUAACACGUGGGAAACCUGCCCAGAAGCGGGGGAUAACACCUGGAAACAGAUGCUAAUACCGCAUAACAACUUGGACCGCAUGGUCCGAGUUUGAAAGAUGGCUUCGGCUAUCACUUUUGGAUGGUCCCGCGGCGUAUUAGCUAGAUGGUGGGGUAACGGCUCACCAUGGCAAUGAUACGUAGCCGACCUGAGAGGGUAAUCGGCCACAUUGGGACUGAGACACGGCCCAAACUCCUACGGGAGGCAGCAGUAGGGAAUCUUCCACAAUGGACGAAAGUCUGAUGGAGCAACGCCGCGUGAGUGAAGAAGGGUUUCGGCUCGUAAAACUCUGUUGUUAAAGAAGAACAUAUCUGAGAGUAACUGUUCAGGUAUUGACGGUAUUUAACCAGAAAGCCACGGCUAACUACGUGCCAGCAGCCGCGGUAAUACGUAGGUGGCAAGCGUUGUCCGGAUUUAUUGGGCGUAAAGCGAGCGCAGGCGGUUUUUUAAGUCUGAUGUGAAAGCCUUCGGCUCAACCGAAGAAGUGCAUCGGAAACUGGGAAACUUGAGUGCAGAAGAGGACAGUGGAACUCCAUGUGUAGCGGUGAAAUGCGUAGAUAUAUGGAAGAACACCAGUGGCGAAGGCGGCUGUCUGGUCUGUAACUGACGCUGAGGCUCGAAAGUAUGGGUAGCAAACAGGAUUAGAUACCCUGGUAGUCCAUACCGUAAACGAUGAAUGCUAAGUGUUGGAGGGUUUCCGCCCUUCAGUGCUGCAGCUAACGCAUUAAGCAUUCCGCCUGGGGAGUACGGCCGCAAGGCUGAAACUCAAAGGAAUUGACGGGGGCCCGCACAAGCGGUGGAGCAUGUGGUUUAAUUCGAAGCUACGCGAAGAACCUUACCAGGUCUUGACAUACUAUGCAAAUCUAAGAGAUUAGACGUUCCCUUCGGGGACAUGGAUACAGGUGGUGCAUGGUUGUCGUCAGCUCGUGUCGUGAGAUGUUGGGUUAAGUCCCGCAACGAGCGCAACCCUUAUUAUCAGUUGCCAGCAUUAAGUUGGGCACUCUGGUGAGACUGCCGGUGACAAACCGGAGGAAGGUGGGGAUGACGUCAAAUCAUCAUGCCCCUUAUGACCUGGGCUACACACGUGCUACAAUGGAUGGUACAACGAGUUGCGAACUCGCGAGAGUAAGCUAAUCUCUUAAAGCCAUUCUCAGUUCGGAUUGUAGGCUGCAACUCGCCUACAUGAAGUCGGAAUCGCUAGUAAUCGCGGAUCAGCAUGCCGCGGUGAAUACGUUCCCGGGCCUUGUACACACCGCCCGUCACACCAUGAGAGUUUGUAACACCCAAAGUCGGUGGGGUAACCUUUUAGGAACCA
rnacentral:rRNA from 2 species